GACAAGGGAACGUGGAAGCUGAUCGACCUGGAUGGGGCAAUGCCCUCAGGAGCUCGGGUCGAGAUGGGGGACUGCGCCACGACGGCCAUCUACAUGCCGCCGGAGUUCGCGAAGGCCCUGUCCGCCGAAGGACCUAGGGAAGGGCCCAGGAAGGU
rnacentral:SRP_RNA from 13 species